UGGGGAAUAUUGCACAAUGGGCGCAAGCCUGAUGCAUCCAUGCCGCGUGUGUGAAGAAGGCCUUCGGGUUGUAAAGCACUUUCAGCGGGGAGGAAGGCGGUGAGGUUAAUAACCUCAUCGAUUGACGUUACCCGCAGAAGAAGCACCGGCUAACUCCGUGCCAGCAGCCGCGGUAAUACGGAGGGUGCAAGCGUUAAUCGGAAUUACUGGGCGUAAAGCGCACGCAGGCGGUCUGUCAAGUCGGAUGUGAAAUCCCCGGGCUCAACCUGGGAACUGCAUGCGAAACUGGCAGGCUAGAGUCUUGUAGAGGGGGGUAGAAGUCAAGGUGUAGCGGUGAAAGGCGUAGAGAUCUGGAGGAAUACCGGUGGCGAAGGCGGCCCCCUGGACGAAGGCUGACGGUCAGGUGCGAAAGCGUGGGGAGCAAACAGG
rnacentral:rRNA from 1 species